rnacentral:rRNA from 1 species
AUUAGAUACCCGUCUAUUCAUGACAUAAAUAAUAGUUGAAUAUUACGAACAACAGUUUAAAAUUCAAAGAUUUUGGCGGUGUCUUAUAAAAUCAGGGGAACCUGUCUCAUAACUCGAUAAUCCACGUAUAUUCAACCCCCUCUGGAAAUACCAGCAUGUGUACUGCCGUUGUAAGCACACCUUUAAAAGAACAAGUGUGCUACUAUGACUACUAAUUAACUCAUAUACAUCAGGUCAAAGUGCAGCUAAUGUGGGGGAGAUGAUGGGUUACAACCCUAAAACAGACUAUCAACUAAGAAAUUAAAAACCUUACGAAAGUGGACUUGACCGUAAUCAAUUUACAAGUUAAAAAAAUGAAUGAUAUCUAAGACAUGCACACAUCGCCCGUCACUCUAUCCUAAAGGAUAGAUAAGUCGUAAC